UACGUAGGGGGCGAGCGUUGUCCGGAAUUACUGGGCGUAAAGAGAGCGUAGGCGGCACUACAAGUUUCAUGUGAAAUACCCGGGCUUAACUUGGGGGUUGCAUGGGAAACUGUAGAGCUUGAGUACAGGAGAGGCAAGCGGAAUUCCUAGUGUAGCGGUGAAAUGCAUAGAUAUUAGGAGGAACACCAGUGGCGAAGGCGGCUUGCUGGACUGAAACUGACGCUGAGGCUCGAAAGCGUGGGGAGCAAACAGG
rnacentral:rRNA from 1 species